AUAAAGAUGGUAAAUCCGUUGAUUGGUAUAAAAAAGUUGUCUUUUCUUCAUUUCAAAGAGAAACUAAAUGAAAAAAUGGACAACUAACAAGACGUAUCUUAAGAAAAAGUGCUUUACCAUUUCUAGGAUUAAAAACUAAAGUGACAAUUAAACACAAGACCAGGAUAAUGUCAAUGAGUGAGGUGUAGCGUAAAUGGCAAAAUCAUAAGAUAUAAUUAAGAGUGCAAAAGUUAUUAAGAGAAGAAGAUAUUUCAAAUUUGUCAGAGCUCAAACAAAAAUUUUGUGCCUACAAAAAUAAUAAUAGAUUGAAUGGAAGAUAAAGUUCAAUUUCUGUAAAUUACAAAAUCAGAUUCAGGAUAAGUUACGCAUCGCCGGACGUUUCAAAUUCACAGUUUAGUCGCAACAAUUCUUUAGUACUUUAACCAAAGAUAUCAAUAGAAAUUGUUAUGUAAUUAUCACACAUUUAUAAAUAAUCCUGUAAAAUUUCGAAUCGGUUGACGCUAUAGUUUUUGAGAAACAAAA
rnacentral:lncRNA from 1 species